UACGUAGGGCGCAAGCGUUGUCCGGAAUUAUUGGGCGUAAAGAGCUCGUAGGCGGCUUGUCACGUCGGUUGUGAAAGCCCGGGGCUUAACCCCGGGUCUGCAGUCGAUACGGGCUAGCUAGAGUGUGGUAGGGGAGAUCGAAUUCCUGGUGUAGCGGUGAAAAUGCGCAGAUAUCAGGAAGAACACCCAUGCGAAAGCAGCUCUCUGGGGACGGUACUGACGCUGAGAUGCGAAAAGCGUGGGGAGCAAACAGG
rnacentral:rRNA from 1 species